UACAGAGGUCCCGAGCGUUUGUUCGGAUUCAUUGGGCGUAAAGGGCGCGUAGGCGGCGGGGAAAGUCUGAUGUGAAAUCCUGGGGCUCAACCCUGGAACUGCAUUGGAUACUUCCUUGCUAGAGUACUGGAGAGGAAACUGGAAUUUACGGUGUAGCAGUGAAAUGCGUAGAGAUCGUAAAGGAAGACCAGUGGCGAAGGCGAGUUUUCUG
rnacentral:rRNA from 1 species